CAGGUCAGGCGGGGCUACCCGCUGAGUUUAAGCAUAUCAAUAAGCGGAGGAAAAGAAACUAACAAGGAUUCCCCUAGUAACGGCG
rnacentral:rRNA from 1 species